rnacentral:rRNA from 1 species
GACAGAGGUGCCGAGCGUUAGGCGGAAUUACUGGGCGUAAAGCGCACGUAGGCGGCUUUGUAAGUUAGAGGUGAAAGCCCGGGGCUCAACCCCGGAACUGCCUUUAAGACUGCAUCGCUUGAAUCCAGGAGAGGUGAGUGGAAUUCCGAGUGUAGAGGUGAAAUUCGUAGAUAUUCGGAAGAACACCAGUGGCGAAGGCGGCUCACUGGCCUGGUAUUGACGCUGAGGUGCGAAAGCGUGGGGAGCAAACAGG